ensembl:lncRNA
UGGAUAUGAAGCACCCACGCCUGAGAUGUAUUCUGUGUGCUACACAGGCAGAUCCUCUGCAGCAGAAACCUGUGCUUGCUUUUUCACCCAUUGCACUGCCAUAAUAAUGCUUUCCUCAAACCAUCCAUUAGCCAGAAGAGAAGUGGAAGGCAGUGAGGCAAUGAGAGAGUGGAGGCAGCAGCAGAGAGGCAGCUGGGGCAGGAGGGAAGAAGGUGUGGAUAAGGGUAGGGGUAAGUCAGAAUGGAGGAGAGGGACGGGAGAGUGAUAACAGGUCCUGAGGGUGCAGAGCAAAGAUGGAGAAAGUCAAAAAAAUGGGACAUGAGAUGGAGUCUACUGGGAGCUCAGCGGGAUGGAAAGGAGAUGAUGUGGACAAGCUUAAACAACAGCUGCAGAACAGCAUUCCUGGAUCAAAUGGAGCACAUUGAACAAAGCAACACAGGACAGAUGAAAUCUUGUCUGCAAAGAUCAGAGAGGAGACCAGGAAAGCAAGUCUGUGGAAUUGUUCAUCUUGUCUGCUCUAGAAGAUGGAUUUCCAGGGCUGUCAUUGUUUAGACAAGACUUUUUCACCCCUCAGUGCUGUGGCCCCUAUUUUCUGCUCCUGCUUAUUGGAAUCAGUGCAUUCCCACAAUCAAAGGAAAAGUGGAUUUACAGCAGUUGCAGAGCCCUUGGACAUGUCCUGCACACAUCAGCCACCCAAAGCCCAGCAAGUUACAGAUUCCUGGUCUAUCCUGAAGAACAUCUUUGAUAUUCAGCAGAGGCUUUUACCCCACUGACACAGUGCAUUUGUCAGAGCAUUAACUCUGUGUUUCAUACAAAAGCUGUCAGCAUAGCUGUCAUUUCAGUUGCAUUUAAUGACAGAAGUAUGUGAGACCAACCCUAUUUUAAUUUCAUAACUGUUGACUCUGAAAAGCCAUUAUUCUCUGGCCUUUUUUAGUGUUUUCUCUCAUAACAAUUACAAUUAGUUUGGCUAAUAGUAUAAAUUAUCACUUGCUUAAAGCUGCAAAUUACAAGUUGCAUGCUCCCCAACCUGCUUUGCCCAGAACACUUCUAGAUUAGAAGAAAAUCCUCAUUUCUUCUACCACGGUUGGUGGGGACUCAGGGAAAGAAGAACAUUCCUUCCAUCAUAGAUUUCAUUGUGUGGUAAAUCCUUCCUCAUCUAGAUAUUACAAACUAUAUCAUAAUAUAUUGAUCUUAAUUCUUGGUGGGUUUUCACACUAAAAACUGUUUUCCUUUGGGUAUUGGUCUUGUUUGGUUGUGGUAUUUAAUGAUUUUUCAGGUAGGGUUUUUUCAUAAAUUUUAAUCAAAUACAACAUUGUGGCAGGCAAUGGAGAAAUUCACUGUAACAUCCUUGUCAGUCACAACAUCCCUCUCCUCAUCCCCAUGGUGAAUCUCAUACCUUUGAAUCCGGGCCAGGAAUGAGACAGGAAGGGCAAGUGGCUACCCAGGUGUCUGACUGUAGGUUUGUGCUGCAGAAACUCUGCACAAAGUGGGACUUCAAAGUGAUAAUCAUAUAAAUUGAAUCAAUGUGUAUGUCAUGUCAUUUAUAGUCCAAUGACAUAGAAAAUAAUGCUUUUUAGUUAUCUGUAAUAAGUUAAACUUAACUGCUCAGAGAAUUUGAUUUGUGGAUUAAAAGUGCCAAGGAAUACUCAGAUAAUACAGUGACUUACUAAAGCUACUAAAAAGAAGAUAAAACAUGUAAUUAAAAGUUCACUGAGGGAAUAUUCUCUUUAAGAAACAUAUGUACACUACAAAUACCUGUUAAAAAUGUUAUCUUUUCUAGCAAAAUAUCUGAAGGGCAGAAAGUAGCCCAGUGAGAAAGCAGUGAAUUUGUUCUCAGCAUAAGGCAGCACUCAGUGCCUUUUAGCCAACAGAGAGGGUUUGUACGCCUGGCAAUAGUGAGUGACCAUUGCAGUGGGCAGCUCUUUGGCAGAGUAGCCACAGACCUCUGUCAGCAAAAAUACCCAAAACUUUAACAGCCUUCCAAGCACAGUGUACAGAAGUGGAAACCACCUGGCAUAUAGCACACAGCUGUAUGGUAUUAUUUUAUAUAAUUAUUAUUAACAAAACACAGCUGCCGGCUGAUGUAGAUCCAGGCUUUUUGAGCCGUCUGUUUUUCUGGAGGACUUCAGUUAAGAGAACCAAAGCUGUUCUGGCUGUCACCAGGGUGAUCAUUUUCAGUUGUUCUAUGUCUGUGCCAGAAAAGUAACCACCCAGAAAUCCCAGCACUGACUUUAAAAGCCUGAGAAGUGUCUCCUCUUUCCUCCCCCAAUAACAUGUCUUUUUUUCUUUGUAUUGUCAUUUCUAUUAAGAGGUGUUUAAAGUCAAAUGGGCCUUCCUCUAAAAACAAAACAAACAAGCAAACCAACUCCGAAACAACGACAAUAAAAGGCAUUUUGAAGCAGUGCUUAGUGUUUUC